AAUAGUGUAAUUUUCGCUUAAAGACUGUAAGUUUCAUUUAAAGAGUGCAACUUUCAUUCGAAAAAGUGUAAUUUUUUUAAAACAGUACAAUGUUCCUUUAAAACAGUACAUUUUCAUCGUCUUCUUCUUUUCUCUCUGAUUCUUUAUUUUUUUUAGAAAAAUAAUUUUUUUUAUAUUUUUAUUCUUUAUUUUUUUAUUUUAUUUAUUUUUUAUAUUUUUUUUUAGUUCUGCUCUUAUCUACGUUUGCUCCGAGUCCUCCUUUCCCAGUGCCGGUGUUAGUGCCUGCGCCGGCGAAAGUGGAGUAAAAGCACGCGACGUUGUCUUCGUUACCAUCGUAGAGAAUCGCGGAGGUCGUAGAGGGGGCUCAAAGAGAAAACAAAAGAAUGUGCGAAAAAAAUAAGAUGAAGAGAACACAGCGUUACGCUCUUUACAAUCGUAAAGAGCUGGAGAGGUGAUGGAGGAUGGUCGGAAAGAAAGAAAAAAAUUAGAAAGAGGGUUGCGGCACGGCAUUGGCGGAGUCGGAGGCGAGGAAGGCGGGGGUGCACAGGCGAGGGUAAGAGUGCGCCGGACAGAGGCGAGGCAAGUUGCCUCUGCCUCCGUUGCCCCGUGGGGAGAGAAAGAAAGAAAAAAAUAACAAAAGAGAAAAAAAGAGAAAAAAAGGAAAUAAGAGUAUUUUAGUUAGUUUUUUAAAAAUUCGACCUAAAUUUGUAA
rnacentral:lncRNA from 1 species